rnacentral:rRNA from 1 species
UACGAGGGGUGCAAGCGUUGCUCGGAAUUAUUGGGCGUAAAGGGCGCGUAGGCGGUUCCGCAAGUCCUGUGUGAAAUCUUCGGGCUCAACUCGAAGCCUGCACGGGAAACUGCGGGGCUUGAGUGUGGGAGAGGUGAGUGGAACUGCGAGUGUAGAGGUGAAAUUCGUAGAUAUUCGCAAGAACACCAGUGGCGAAGGCGGCUCACUGGCCCGAUACUGACGCUGAGGCACGAAAGCGUGGGGAGCAAACAGG